GAGUCAUAUAAUAUGGUCGUAGAGUCGUGGCGGUAGUCGCUUGAGAGAUCGUAAUCGCUGUCGUUCAAGUUAGGAUCGUCUACAAUAGAGUCGUAAAGUCAUAGAAUAUGGUCGUAGAGUCGUAGCAAUGGUCGACUGAAAGGUUAUUUUCGAUCGCAAAACGCGUGCAAGCACAGUCGUUUGAGUUGGUUCCAAUCCAAUUUCAGCGACUAUUGUAACGACUUGAGCUACAAUAGACCAAUCAGAGGAAAGAUUUUAUAUAUCACGCUAUGUAAACAUCGUGGGAAAAUGAUAUCGAUAGCGAGAAUAUUGAUCCAGCAAAUAAGCAUAACCUUAAAGUACCUAAAACAGAUAUCAGAAAAAGAAAGAAUAUAAGUCUUGAUGUGAAUUCUCUAAUUAUGGAAUCAUCACAGGCUGUUACUGCAGCCUGUUCAGCUUUGCCAGCAUUGCUGAACAGUACAACUUCCACGCCAGAUACAGAAGAAGAGAAAAGUAUAGUGACAGUCUUAUUACAUGGAAUAAAACGUGUAACCUAUGCAACAAAGAACAAAAUGUUUUAUCAAACUGUUG